rnacentral:rRNA from 1 species
UGGGGAAUCUUAGACAAUGGGGGCAACCCUGAUCUAGCCAUGCCGCGUGAUCGAUGAAGGCCUUAGGGUUGUAAAGAUCUUUCAGCUGGGAAGAUAAUGACGGUACCAGCAGAAGAAGCCCCGGCUAACUCCGUGCCAGCAGCCGCGGUAAUACGGAGGGGGCUAGCGUUGUUCGGAAUUACUGGGCGUAAAGCGCACGUAGGCGGAUAUUUAAGUCGGGGGUGAAAUCCCGGGGCUCAACCCCGGAACUGCCUUCGAUACUGGGUAUCUUGAGGUCGAGAGAGGUGAGUGGAAUUCCGAGUGUAGAGGUGAAAUUCGUAGAUAUUCGGAGGAACACCAGUGGCGAAGGCGGCUCACUGGCUCGAUACUGACGCUGAGGUGCGAAAGCGUGGGGAGCAAACAGG